AACGAACGCUGGCGGCAGGCUUAACACAUGCAAGUCGAGCGCAUCCUUCGGGGUGAGCGGCAGACGGGUGAGUAACGCGUGGGAAUCUACCUUUUGCUACGGAAUAGCUCCGGGAAACUGGAAUUAAUACCGUAUGUGCCCUUAGGGGGAAAGAUUUAUCGGCAAGAGAUGAGCCCGCGUUGGAUUAGCUAGUUGGUGGGGUAAAGGCCUACCAAGGCGACGAUCCAUAGCUGGUCUGAGAGGAUGAUCAGCCACAUUGGGACUGAGACACGGCCCAAACUCCUACGGGAGGCAGCAGUGGGGAAUAUUGGACAAUGGGCGCAAGCCUGAUCCAGCCAUGCCGCGUGAGUGAUUAAGGCCUUAGGGUUGUAAAGCUCUUUCACCGGAGAAGAUAGUGACGGUAUCCGGAGAAGAAGCCCCGGCUAACUUCGUGCCAGCCGCCGCCGUAA
rnacentral:rRNA from 1 species